rnacentral:misc_RNA from 1 species
GAAGCGCGGGGCGAAAAAUCAUCGUUCGAUUUACCGGUCAUCGUGUCUCCGGAACCGAAAGGGGAAAAAAAAUAAAAAAUUGUUGAAAAUAAGUGUGGAGUAGUGCGAUGGAUGGGAGCGCGAUGUCCUCGUCGCGCGGCUCCUUGGACCGGACACGUGAUGUUCGUCGGUUAUCGAAGCUCCGAAUGGAUCGCGGAUGAAAUAUGACGACGCGCGUGUUAACCGUAGUUGCAUGAUCGGAUCAACAGCGGCACGGUUCCCUCGGAGAUUAAGAUUGAACGAGCAAACCGUUUACGCCGGGAGCAUUGUCCUGUAAACCGUAGCCCGUAUUCGGAAGCGCAACGCAUUGUGGGAGACUGAUCCGAUUGUAGGAGGCUCGGGGAGAAUUUUUGCACGGGGAAGGCCGAGUAUUUUCGCAUUGAAAUGCCGAUGGUUGGCCGGAGGCGUCGAAUCGUCGGCUUUUCUCUCUGAGUCAAAGAACUCGCUGGUUAAAAGAAGUUGAUGAAGAAGCGACCAAGUGUGAUAAACCCAGGGAGAGGAAGACAGCGAAGGGAAAGGACCAGCGUGCAGGGAGACCGAUAGAAGGUCUUCGUACAUCAAACACAUAAGCGAUGGAGAAGGACAGCGAACGUCACUACAGAGCUUACGAGAGCUUGAAAGCUGCCAACAAUGGCAACACUUCCUCGCUCAAGAGGGGAGUCGAUACGUCAAAGAGCAGCGUCAAUGCCGGCGUGUCCCAUCAUCAUCAUCAGCAGCAGCAACAGCAGAAUGGACAGAUCAGGUGUCUGUGCUUCGGCGGUGUACCCGACAAGGCCAGUCAUCACUCCUUCCUCAAGGGCUUCGUCAUCAAUCUCGGAAUUUGCUCUCUCCUCGUCGCGUACACCCUCCUCGGCAGUUUCAUCUUCCUGGCCAUCGAGGGUGGCGCCGAUCACCUCCAACAGAGGACACUCGCAACUACCGUUGCUGGCGGCAACUCGAGGAGAAAUACCACCGCUUGGCUCAACAAGGUGAACCGCGACGCUCGCGAACAAACGGUCGAAAGCAUCUGGGAAAUCACGGAACACUUGAACAUUCUGUAUCGUGAGAAUUGGACGAGACUCGCCGAGCAGGAAAUCACCCGCUUUCAAGAUCGUCUCGUCAAGAAAAUAAUGGAGGACAUGCACGCUAAUUCACAAACUACGAGAACUUACACCGGCGAAAAAGGACGCAAGGAAAUCGACUCGGAGCCGAACGCCGAACGCAAUUCUCCCGAUUACGAGUGGAACUUUGCCAAAGCGUUUCUCUACUCGCUUACCGUCCUCACGACAAUCGGCUACGGGAGCAUAGCGCCACGUUCAACAUGGGGAAAAGUCGCGACGAUGGGCUACGCGGCACUCGGCAUUCCGUUGACCCUCGUUUAUCUCUCGAGUGCGGGAGGUCUGCUCUCCAGAUGCGCUCGGGGUGUUUUUACUCGAGCUCUUUGCUGCUGUCUGUGCUCGAAUUGCGGCUACUGCUGCUACGACGAGAGGCGAAUGCAGGAGAAGGAGAGACGGAUGAGGAAAAAACGCCAGCAGGAGGAAUUGAGCCAGCAGCAGCAACAGAUGCAACUGCAGGAGCCUUUCUACGUGCGAGCAAACGCCUCGACGUUUCCGGGCUCGGUCGACAUAAAGACGAGCCCAAAGGAUGAAAUAUCGAGCCUCGGCUCCGGUGACAGACCGAACGUCACGAUAUUAGCGCCAAUAAGCAUCUGCCUCGGGGCCAUGCUCUGCUACAUUGUUGCCGGAGCUUUUACCUUGUACAAAUUAGAGGGCUGGAGCUUCGUAGAUGCGAGCUAUUUCUGCUUCAUGAGCCUGAGUACCAUCGGUUUCGGUGACAUGGUUCCUGGUUCCUAUCCACGCUACGAUCUCGUCGAUUCAAGAAACAUAACGGUAUGGUUUUGCUCUUGCUACAUAAUGUCCGGGAUGGCAUUAACGGCGAUGUGUUUCAACAUACUCCACGACGAGAUCGUGCAUCGUCUCGCUCAUCAAACGGAGAAAAGUGAGUCCGUGAAGCCAAGCACGAGCGUCGACGAGCUGUCGAACGAUCCGUUCGCCUUGACGUCGUGACAAUUUCCAGGCAGCAACGCCUGUCAUCGCAACGUUACCGAGGAGAGCCUCUGCGGCGAACCGCCCGCGAGCAUAUUCGCCCACGAUAACGAGAUCAAUAUUCUAAAAGAUUCUUACAAUCAAGUCGACGUUACCAGAGACUGUAAGCCGAUAAUCAAACUCGAAGAUCACAUCGUUGGUCCCAUUUCGGCUGUCUACACCCUCCCCGAAGUCGACGAAGAAGCUGAAGACAACACCGAGAUGUAAACCCGCUCCUCGUUACGAGCAUAGCUUCAAAUUUUCCCCUGAAAGUCCCCACGAACGAGCAGAUCGAUCAAUUCUGAAAGAAAAGUCCUCACCCGCAUUGCUUCGGAUUGGCUGACCACUCUUUCAUUGAAAAUCAAAUAAAUGACAACUUCUCUCUUCGGGAUCAUCCGAUCCAGCGAUUCUCUGGACAUCGUGACUGCUCUCUUCGUCUCUAUUUCUCCGCUACGAAUUCCUCGCAUUUCUCUGACUCUCGUGGAUGUUCCCGUCGUCUUAUAAUCCCCGAGAUGAUGCUGUCGAACGUCGAAGUAUGGAAAUUCUCGGGCCCGAGCCAACUAUGCGCUCACGCGUAUUCCCACAUGAUACGUUCAAAUAUUUAUCACAUUUUUCACAUCCAUCAAAUAAUAAAUAUGAGAAAAUGUAUUAUUUUUGUAUGCAGUAGAAUUUGUGAUGAAUAUUGUUAAUUUGGGAAUCACGAGGAGCGAACAUUCAAACGAAUCAUUUUUGACAAAUACGCGCGUUUUUGGUUCAGUGAAAUGUUCGAGUUUUUAAACAUCGAGGAUUCUAUUUUUCUUGCUCAACAGUUUUUCCAAACGCUUUAAAAUAUAUUCUGCUCUCGGUGAAUGCUUCGGCGCAGCAUUUUUUCGCAUUCUUUUUUUGUGCCAGAGGAGACCGAAACGGAUUCGGAACAUUCAUGACUCAUACUUCCGCGGGUCCAGGCGCCCCGAGAGCUGUCGGAAUAUUUUUCCGAAGAGAGAAAACAACGCUCGUAAGCAAUCGGAAAACGGGGGAAAAAGUGAAAUAGAGAAAAAGAGGUAAUCGCGGCCCUUCAUUACUUGUAAAUUCGUGUAACUCGCUAUCUCACUUUUUGUAUCCUUUAAUUUUUUCUUCCGAAAUAUGAAAUAAUACUGAAUUCCGCAGUGCAGAGGAGAUUCGAGCGUGAAUGUUCGUGGCUCUCCUGUUGCGGGGGAAGAAACAAAACUGGAAGAGAAACGGAAUAUCUAUUCGUGCGAAAUUUCUACAAUCCUAAACACUCUUAGAUAGGAAUUAUCGACAACUUUCUUUUUUACGGUUUUAAUACGUACGUUAAUUAUAUAAAAGAUAAAUAUGUAUAAAUACACACAGAGAAAUGGACAGCUGCGUGGACAAGAAAUUGAGUAAUAACCGUGGACGUUUUCGCGUGAACUUUGUAACGAUGUGAAUGAUCAUUUGAAUCGUGCUGAGCCCACCUCGAGCAUGAAUCUACGAACGAACUUGUACAUUUAUUAUGUGAGAGCAUUUUUCUUAUCGUAUUUUUAACGAAAAUCCUAGUCGCAUACUGGAAUUCAAGGGUUAUCGAAAAAGCGUCUGACGUUGAAGAAUGCCGGACGCUGCCUCCACAGGAAAAGGAAGCAUAAAAGAGGUAAAAGAAGAGGAAAAAUGAAAUGGGAAAUAUGUGCAAAAUGCACGAUACGUUUCCUGCUGGCAGCGAUCGCCGAUGGGAUAAAAAUUCGUUUACCGAUCCUAUUUCUCACGAUCAAAAUGUCCACCGCGAGCUUCUUUUUCUCUUCUUACUGCACAAACGUGGUCAUUGAUAAUCCUGUGAAAAUUUAUCGUCCCGGUGAGCAGGCAGGAAUCGACGAUGCGUCGGAAUUUCGUCACUGCGUGGAAAUUGCGUUCAGGAAGCAGAAAUGAUUUUGGACUCUUCUGAAAAUUCGAUUGGUCGAACAUUUUUUAAAAUCUGAUCUCACUCAUUUUUCAUUUCAAUAUGAACUGUCAACUGCGGCAAUUGAAGGAUAAAACGAGUGCAAUUUUCCAGUUAAAUGAUGCUGAAAGCUGUUUCAAAAUUUUCAUUCCCAGCAAACGAAAGUCCACCGGAAUAACAUUCGUUCGUUAGGUCGAUGAAAUUAAUGGUAAUUUAGUUAUUUUUUUAUAGUAAAAAAUGGACAGGAUCGGUUGGCGGUACUGCUCGAAAAAUUCACUUCGAUGACGUUCGAUUAUCUGACUUCGUCCAAUCGCCAUAAAUUCAUGUGGAAAUCCUAAUAUCCGGAUUCAGACACAUUUCACGAUGGGAAUCGACCGAGAUCCGUGCUCAAGAACAAUAACUAAUUUAACCAUUUACGGUUAGGUAAAUAAUCCAUAAGAAUGUUGCGUUUAGAAGGACUAUCCAAAGAUGUUUAUAAAAUAUCGAUAUUUCAAUUGCCCUAAGCGAUAGUAUUUAAGAAGGAAGACGAAAGAAGUGAAGAAUAUAAAAAUAGGUAAUUAAAGUGGGGAUAAAAAACUGCUUAGAUUCUCACUUCGUGCGUUCCGAAGAAGGCCGAGUGUCUCUUAUUGCGUGGCUCAAGGACGAAAAGUAGAUAUAAAUUGAAGAUAUUCGCGGUUCCGAAUCCUACAUAAGCGAGCGUCGAUGAUUCUGGAAGUCUGAAACGAGACGAAGAGACGAAAUAAUGAGUUCGGAUGAAAAAAAACGCCGAUUAAGGUCCACCGCCUGUUUUGAUUUCUUGACAUAUCAUAAAAUAAGAGGACGAAGCGAAAUAACUUUAGUCAUCGCUGUUUUCGGGGCAAAAUUGCCGGAUAAGCCGGGAGCACGAUCCAAACAAGCGAACAUCGCGAAGUGCAGAUGUGUAAAUAAGAAAAAAGUACUUUCGGAUCGGGUGUUUGGCCAAUGUUGUGAAUGAAAGAAUAUUGUUAAAGAGAUAAGAAAAAAGUGUUCGAAAUUUUGGUACGAGGAUUGAAAAUGAGAUGGAAAAAUGUAAUUCGCUCGCGAGAGCAGGAGGGAAUCGGAAAAAUGGAAGAAAGAGGCAACGAACUUGUGGAUCAAAUUAAAAAAGGAGGAUGCAUGUGCUCGAGCUAAAUGGGAAAUGGAGUGGGGAGGGAUAAAGUUACGAAGAAAAUGGCAAAUUACUGACGCCCUCUUCAUCAGCGCAUUACGUAAGAAUAUCCACGUGCAAGCUCCAGCCCCCGCGCCUCUUUCUUCGAGUUUUCUCCCUCGCUCGAUGGAUAUAAAUAUAACGAAAAAGGAGCCCACGGACACACACGUGCAUACACAGGAAUCUUUCGCUCGCAGUUUGCUCGAGUUUUCUCCGGGCUUUUCUUCGAUGCUCUUUGUCUAUGCGAAGCGUUCGCUUUGCUAUCUCUCCGCUCCCGACUAUAUCUCGUAGCCUCGAGGGAAAUAUCACGAAUUCCCACGACCGGGGACAUUGUGGCGCGGAUGGAACUUUAGUCGGUAUUUUCAAGGUGGAACGGGCUGGAGGAUCAGGCAAAAAGAGGAGCGGAGAGAAAAAAGGUAAAAAGUUUGAAAAACCGAGGGCGAAAAAAAAACAAAAAAGCUCCAAUGGAAGUCCUAACACCGUGGGGACUUUUUUUCUGUCGCAAAAGACGACGAAAAUAACAUGCGCUCGCGCGGGACAAACAAUCGUCGGCCACUCACUCGUCUCGAUAAUUCUCGAGCCCAGUGAUCAAUGGAAAAUUAGCAUCCUUCCGAGUCCUCGCAUUCGUUCGUCAUCGUCUGCCCUGAAAAUUCUUUUCUCGAUUCGCUCCAAGGGGAAAAGGGAAAUCCACCCUCGCUCGAACCUUCUGAUGAUCGAUGCUUAAUAAUUCGCAAAGGAAAGUCACCGACCGAUUGCCCAAAAAGUAUCGAGCUGCUCGUCCAGGGGAAAGAGUUGCUUUGUGGACCAUUCGAUUUUUAGACGCUCUCAUUAACUCGUACGAUCCUUUUUUCGAACGAAACUCUCCAGUGUCUAAACAGACUCGAAUUUUCUCUUCAGCAUUAAAUCCUCGCCUGCGAUAAUGAGCUUCAAUUAUACACGAUUCUCUUCGUUUUAUCACAGCGAAGAUAAUGGUGUACGAUGGAGUAGCCUUCGCUCGAUAUUUUAUCGUGAAAAGUCUGUAAAGCCUGAAAAACUUUCGAUAAAAUAAAAAAUAAAAAACUCAAGAUUUUUGCCGAAAAAAAAAAAAAAACUAGUUUCCUUUCCCAGCAGCAAAAAGCUGUCCCGGAACAGCGAUUUUCCGGCAUCAGAGAUAAAAAUUAAUGAUCAUUCGAAUUUGAAGGAAAGUUUGGAAAGAACGAACGGUCCUGAUUCGCAGCUUCUCGAUACUCCGCUGAAAAAAGUCGACCCCGCAAAUAGUCUCCCAUUUUCGAAUCUUCGGAGAGCUCACGAGCAGCUUACGCAGAAGCACAAAAAAUAUCAUUCGAGACUACGAGGCGAAAAAAAACGAAAAUUUCACUUGUACAUAAAAGGAAAAUGCUCUUUGUACAAUAAAACAAAAAAACUAGAUUCUAAAAUUAAAAAAAAAAAGAAAACAAAAAAACAAAUCCACUGUCAAUACGUAUUCAAUAUCCGAUUCACACUUUUACCACGUACGUUGUAAAUAUUAGAUCGAGUAAGCUUUAUCAAUAUGAAAAUAAUCCGAUGUACGAGACGAAUUACGUAUAGAUGUAAGCGUCAUUGGUGAGAAAAAAAGCCGAAAAAAUUGAAACUUGAGUCUGCCUAGGAGAGAGGCUGAAAAAGUGUAUUAUUUUAAAUGAAAUCGCAGAACGCUUUGAUUCCUGGAGGAAAAAAAAAACGAGUUCAAAGUCCUCGCGUGAAAGGCAGUUUCGAGAAAGAGUGAAAAAAAAAAUAAUCGAACGAAAGAGCUGUGUGUUUUUAGCAAAGGGAAGAAAAGAAUAAAAACACAGCAAACAGCAGCAUUGGAGAGAGGCAAAAUCGAUAUAUUUUUCGUCUACUCGAUAACUGCGUUGUUUGUGUACGCGAAGAGCGUCCGGGGAGUCGUUUGGAUUGGAACACUUGCCAACGAUAUUCCAACAAAUAUUUUUCACCUCCGUUUUAUUCCCGUUGAAUUUAUUUGGCCUUUUUUAUCACGAGCUCGCUGAAAGACUUCAGAAAAUGACUGAACAAUCGCAGCCCCAAUUUCAUUCCUCGACGGAAAUGAAGGGGAUUCAAAAUAUUGUGUAAAUAAAUGUAUUCGGAUGUUGAGGAAAAACUUGGUUUCCACUGUACAAUAUUCGCGACAUUAUUGGUAAAUCAAUCUUAUUAUAAGGGAGAAAUUGAUCAAUGAUAGUUGAACUUUUGUGAAAAGUGGAGGGAAAUGGAGAGACACGCGUCGUCACGAAUAAAUUGUACGUCUGUAUAAUCAAUUGUCAAGCAAUGUAUCUUAUAAUACGAGAAAUAAAAAGUACUGUCGAAAUCUCA